GGAGGAAGAGAAAGCAAAUGCGAUUUCCUGAGUAGCGGCGAGCGAAACGGAACAUAGCCCAAACCAAGAGGCUUGCCUCUUGGGGUUGUAGGACAUUCUAUACGGAGUUACAAAGGAACGAGGUAGACGAAGCGACCUGGAAAGGUCCGUCGUAGAGGGUAACAACCCCGUAGUCGAAACUUCGUUCUCUCUUGAAUGUAUCCUGAGUACGGCGGAACACGUGAAAUUCCGUCGGAAUCUGGGAGGACCAUCUCCCAAGGCUAAAUACUCCCUAGUGAUCGAUAGUGAACCAGUACCGUGAGGGAAAGGUGAAAAGCACCCCGGAAGGGGAGUGAAAGAGAUCCUGAAACCGUGUGCCUACAAAUAGUCAGAGCCCGUUAACGGGUGAUGGCGUGCCUUUUGUAGAAUGAACCGGCGAGUUACGAUCCCGUGCGAGGUUAAGCUGAAGAGGCGGAGCCGCAGCGAAAGCGAGUCUGAAUAGGGCGUUUAGUACGUGGUCGUAGACCCGAAACCAGGUGAUCUACCCAUGUCCAGGGUGAAGUUCAGGUAACACUGAAUGGAGGCCCGAACCCACGCACGUUGAAAAGUGCGGGGAUGAGGUGUGGGUAGCGGAGAAAUUCCAAUCGAACCUGGAGAUAGCUGGUUCUCCCCGAAAUAGCUU
rnacentral:rRNA from 1 species